GUUCCCAUCCCCCCACUCCCCCAGUCCAUCCCCAGGGUGUGAGGUUCCUCAUCUUCAAUCUCUGCUACACCCAAACCUGCCAGGUUCCCCUUUUCAACCACUGUGGGGUCGUCCAACCGCUGACACCCAUCCACUCUGGGCUCUCUAAAUCCCACAUUCCCAUAAUGCACCUUGGCAAUGCCACUCUCCUCUAUCCCUAAUCCCCCUAUUCCCUUCCCUGGGGUCCUCCUGGACACCCCAACCCACAGUCAGGCCCCCACAUACGUCCCAGUCACUCACAUGCUGAGCUAGUUCUUCAGGGACCCCCACAGCCCAGCAAACUUCUCCAUCCAUGAGCCCCCUGGACCUGUGGCCAGGAAGGGAAAAGAAGUCGCGGGGAUGGAGUCCAGCCCUGAGGUGAGAUGGAAAGUGAUCGAGAGCAGUGACAGCGUGAAUCCUGUUGAUGCCAGGCAAGAGCUGCCCAACUGGGACAAGAGUAACCGUCUCUGUUGAUGCAUUCAAAUGGCAGCUGUUUACAGGUCAUGGGCUGCUAGUUCAUGAGCAGGAGCAGAGUCUCUGUAAGUUUACCAACCAUAGAGCUUGUUAUGUCUGCAUCUAAGUAAGUGCAGAGUUAUUUCAAUGGCUCCUACACUGACAUCUGCUGCCCCUUCUGGCUGGUUAAUUGCACUAUUUGGAACCUGCUCCUAAAAGUGCACCCUUUCUGGGAGUGAGUCAAAACUGCCCAAGGAAACCCCAUUGGGUUUCAAGGGCAAAUUGAGCAAGGAGGUGAUGGGACAGCACAGGGGUCUCAGAGCUUCUCUUUCAUUGCAGGGCCAGAGGGUGCUACUAGCAUGACUGUGGGGUUCUAUUCCUGGCUGUGGGAGGAAAGGGGUGUGUAGUGG